rnacentral:ncRNA from 1 species
AGUAGCCGUGUGCGGUAAAAGCCGCAAGCACGGUUUUGGAUGGGAGGGGUGCUACAGUAAUGUACACCUCGACCCUAU